GGCGGACGGGUGAGUAAUGUAUAGUUAAUCUGCCCUUUAGAGGGGGAUAACAGUUGGAAACGACUGCUAAUACCCCAUACUCCUUUUAUCUUAAUGAUAAUUGGGAAACGUUUUUUCGCUAAAGGAUGAGACUAUAUGGUAUCAGGUAGUUGGUAGGGUAAGAGCCUACCAAGCCAAUGACGCCUAGCUGGUCUGAGAGGAUGAGCAGCCACACUGGAACUGAGACACGGUCCAG
rnacentral:rRNA from 1 species